GAUGAACGCUGGCUACAGGCUUAACACAUGCAAGUCGAGGGGCAGCAUGGGGGAGGUUUCGGCCACCCCCGAUGGCGACCGGCGGAUGGGUGAGUAACGCGUAUCCAACCUGCCCCAUACCCGGGGACAGCCCUUAGAAAUGAGGAUUAACCCCCGAUGCCGCUUUUAUGCCGCAUGGUGUGAAAGUGAAAUGUGAAGGUAUGGGAUGGGGAUGCGUUCCAUUAGCUCGCAGGCGGGGUAACGGCCCACCUGGGCGACGAUGGAUAGGGGUUCUGAGAGGAAGGUCCCCCACACUGGAACUGAGACACGGUCCAGACUCCUACGGGAGGCAGCAGUGAGGAAUAUUGGUCAAUGGGCGCGAGCCUGAACCAGCCAAGUAGCGUGCGGGAAGAAUGCCCUACGGGUUGUAAACCGCUUUUGUACGGGGAUAAAAGCCGCCACGUGUGGUGGUCUGCAGGUACCGUGCGAAUAAGGACCGGCUAAUUCCGUGCCAGCAGCCGCCGUAAUAC
rnacentral:rRNA from 1 species